ensembl:lncRNA
UGAACAAGGAAAGAUCCAGCUUUCUGAGUGAUGACCAGGCCAAUUACAUCUAGGCAUUUUAUGGAAAAUCUGCUCUAUGGGAUGAUAUUUGUGAUAUCGAAAGUGCCUCUGUAGAUUUUACCCGUACUUAAUUUUUUUUCAGUCUUUCCAUAACAAUAUCGAUUAUUUCACAUUCUGUUUUCAGUCUGCUUCACAUUCCCUUGUCUUCAUUCUCCUUCCCUCUCCCCCUCCUUCACACCCUUUCUCACUUUUUCAUAUCUUCUCAGAGCUGUUAGAAAAAAAGGCCGCCUUUCUGUGUGCUAUGUUUUUGAGCUUUAGCAAUUUUCCAUUUCACUUCUUUCUCGUAAUACUUUUUCCACUUAAUAUUUGGGGAGAAAAAUCGUUUUAUUUGAAGGCAAGCCAGAUACACCAUCACAAUGUUUUGGGCCAAGUUAGUAUUCUCAACUAUAGAGUUUACUUACAGUUUCCUGUGUCUUCCAUUUGACUGUUAUUAAAGAAGUAGGAGGGAAAUAAAAAAGUCUUACUUUUACCGUUGACAGCAAGUGUAUGGUACAGCUGUAACUGUCACUGCUCCCUAGUUUGGUGUGCAGCAGCCUGAAAGCUCUGCAGGUUGCUUACACGGCACUGUUCUCAUGACAGCACACGUUGUAUGGUGGAAGUCAUUGGUCUAGAAGCGUAGUAGGGAUGUUUUGGGGGAAGAUGUAAUCUGUAUGAACCCUAACGAAGGAAAUAAAUUGAUGUACUGCAAAAAGAGAACAUAAGGUUUGUUUGGUGUUGUGUGGGCACAUGUGGUUAUCCAAGAUGGUUAGGAGGUAGAAUAUAAGUGAUUUUAAUUAGUAUUUGGAGGUUUUGAGAUCAAGAAACCUUUACCAAUGCAGUGCGCUCAGUGCCGUAGAAGCUAUCUUUCAGAGUAAUGAAGACUGAAGAAAACAGAAUGGCCUGUUUACAUCAGCAGGAAAGAGUAACUGCAUGGCCUGUUGAAAUAAGGAACUGCUUCUUGGAGCUGGAUUGCACAUCAGUGACAAUCCUUAUUUUACUCUAACUUUUAUGAAGAGACCCUUCUUUGAAACAUCAGACUGUCACAAAAACAAAACUUGAAAGUUUGAAUAGCUACCCUUGCACAUGGAAGAUCGUUGAAUGUUGUUUUUCUUUGACCUGUUAUAUACUCCAUAGUGUGACUGAUGUGGUGUUCCAGGAGUCAUUACACUCCCUUCCCCAAAGUUGUUGGGCCUGUACAGACACUAUCAAUGGCAGUACAAGCCCAAGUGAAGUAGUUGCAUGGGACCUUGCAAAACUGGAACCUCCUAUAACUUCUGCCUAAUUCCCUGCAUAAUUUCUUUCUACUCAUCUAUUAUUGCUGAUAUGCCAACACUACUCCAGUCUUUCACUGGAACCACCUAGCACUUCAUCCAAAGCCCUCCUACACUUUAUUUUUCUAAAAAAUUUUCAAUGAAAAGAGAAAUUCUUUUGCACCUAUAUUUUCUUUAAGAAAUCUGGAAGAAUGACAAUACAUACGUAGGUGAACAGAAAAAUGAGGACCCAGAGAAAAAAACUGUAACCAUUUUAAUUCACCAGUGCACUUUGAAAGCUGCAGUAUUCUGACUGGUAAUUAGAAAAGAUGAUGGACCAUUCUUCAACAGUCUUGGCAUGAUUUGCAGGUGAAAAAUCUUAGAAAAAAUAUUUCUGAAUAUCACUUCUCAUCUCCAAAAAAUGUAACCUUUGAUUUUAU